UGGGGAAUUUUGGACAAUGGGGGAAACCCUGAUCCAGCCAUCCCGCGUGUGUGAAGAAGGCCUUCGGGUUGUAAAGCACUUUUGUCCGGAAAGAAAUCCUUGGCUCUAAUACAGUCGGGGGAUGACGGUACCGGAAGAAUAAGCACCGGCUAACUACGUGCCAGCAGCCGCGGUAAUACGUAGGGUGCAAGCGUUAAUCGGAAUUACUGGGCGUAAAGCGUGCGCAGGCGGUUUGCUAAGACCGAUGUGAAAUCCCCGGGCUCAACCUGGGAACUGCAUUGGUGACUGGCAGGCUAGAGUAUGGCAGAGGGGGGUAGAAUUCCACGUGUAGCAGUGAAAUGCGUAGAGAUGUGGAGGAAUACCGAUGGCGAAGGCAGCCCCCUGGGCCAAUACUGACGCUCAUGCACGAAAGCGUGGGGAGCAAACAGGAUUAGUACCCUGGUAGUCCCACGCCCUAAACGAUGUCAACUAGUUGUUGGGGAUUCAUUUCCUUAGUAACGUAGCUAA
rnacentral:rRNA from 1 species